CUCCCCGCUCCCAUCCCUCUCAUCGCCUACUUCACUUUGUGCGACUCCGGACCCCGGGACGGGUAAAUGAAGGAGAUCUGGAGGUCUUGCUGGAGAAAAGGGAAGCUCUUCCUAAUUGGGAUGGUCGCUGAUGACGUGGGGGACUUGCAGUGAGCGCAAGCUAUUGCAUCAAAUGACGGUGCCACCGCAUUGCCCCCUGCCAAUCCUCCGAGGACGCCGUCGGAUCCACUCUACCUGGAGUUAAAAUUAUUUGGGAAGAACAGCACUGGCUGAUCAGGUUUCACCAGGUCAUGACUAUG